rnacentral:rRNA from 1 species
GAGUAACACGUGGGUAACCUGCCUGUAAGACUGGGAUAACUCCGGGAAACCGGGGCUAAUACCGGAUGGUUGUUUGAACCGCAUGGUUCAAACAUAAAAGGUGGCUUCGGCUACCACUUACAGAUGGACCCGCGGCGCAUUAGCUAGUUGGUGAGGUAACGGCUCACCAAGGCGACGAUGCGUAGCCGACCUGAGAGGGUGAUCGGCCACACUGGGACUGAGACACGGCCCAGACUCCUACGGGAGGCAGCAGUAGGGAAUCUUCCGCAAUGGACGAAAGUCUGACGGAGCAACGCCGCGUGAGUGAUGAAGGUUUUCGGAUCGUAAAGCUCUGUUGUUAGGGAAGAACAAGUACCGUUCGAAUAGGGCGGUACCUUGACGGUACCUAACCAGAAAGCCACGGCUAACUACGUGCCAGCAGCCGCGGUAAUACGUAGGUGGCAAGCGUUGUCCGGAAUUAUUGGGCGUAAAGGGCUCGCAGGCGGUUUCUUAAGUCUGAUGUGAAAGCCCCCGGCUCAACCGGGGAGGGUCAUUGGAAACUGGGGAACUUGAGUGCAGAAGAGGAGAGUGGAAUUCCACGUGUAGCGGUGAAAUGCGUAGAGAUGUGGAGGAACACCAGUGGCGAAGGCGACUCUCUGGUCUGUAACUGACGCUGAGGAGCGAAAGCGUGGGGAGCGAACAGGAUUAGAUACCCUGGUAGUCCACGCCGUAAACGAUGAGUGCUAAGUGUUAGGGGGUUUCCGCCCCUUAGUGCUGCAGCUAACGCAUUAAGCACUCCGCCUGGGGAGUACGGUCGCAAGACUGAAACUCAAAGGAAUUGACGGGGGCCCGCACAAGCGGUGGAGCAUGUGGUUUAAUUCGAAGCAACGCGAAGAACCUUACCAGGUCUUGACAUCCUCUGACAAUCCUAGAGAUAGGACGUCCCCUUCGGGGGCAGAGUGACAGGUGGUGCAUGGUUGUCGUCAGCUCGUGUCGUGAGAUGUUGGGUUAAGUCCCGCAACGAGCGCAACCCUUGAUCUUAGUUGCCAGCAUUCAGUUGGGCACUCUAAGGUGACUGCCGGUGACAAACCGGAGGAAGGUGGGGAUGACGUCAAAUCAUCAUGCCCCUUAUGACCUGGGCUACACACGUGCUACAAUGGACAGAACAAAGGGCAGCGAAACCGCGAGGUUAAGCCAAUCCCACAAAUCUGUUCUCAGUUCGGAUCGCAGUCUGCAACUCGACUGCGUGAAGCUGGAAUCGCUAGUAAUCGCGGAUCAGCA